GUAGGUUCCACAGUUCUACGCCUGAAUCAACGUUGAUCUCAUGCGUCUCUGCAGCAACGCUAAUCACAGCAAUGCUCAAGGGAAUUUUACCGCGCAUUACCGAAGAAUUUUCGUUAGCAUAGUAUGAGAUCGUGCCUUCCACCAUGUUGAGAGUGAAGUAACGUCGAGCAUAGCCUUGGCCCUUCUUUCGGCGCUUUUUAAGCAAGGUUCCAGAAAUAAUUUGUUUAGGAGAGCCAUGGACUGAUGCAUUUGGUAUUCUCGGACCGUUGUAUGGUUGCGCGGUCAAGAGGAAGGUCACAGUUUUUGGUUUUGUUUUCGAAAAAGUGUUAUCAAACACGAAGGCAUAAAGUCCUCCAUUCUCAAUGUAGACAGAGCCCUCACUAGGCUUUUCCGACAUACAUCGCUCUCCUUGAUAAAAUAAUUCUAACCCAGCAGCACUCAACUUCUUGAUACCAGCUUCGUGAGUGUGUUGACGCUUUGUAUGCAGGAUGGAACGAUCGGUGUUUUUGUUGGAUCCAUCUAGCAAGCUAGAUGUGUCAUUCUUUUUAUGAUAUAUAUCAAACUUUAUGCUUUUCCGUUUCACAUGCAGUUGCCAACUCAGUAAGGAAUUCGAUUCCACCGUGAGCCAUUGUAUCAACAGACUCUUACUUCGUAUCUCCACAGUUUCCAUGUUGACUCAUGGACUUCUACUGUGAUAAUUGCAAAACUUAGAAAGCCUAUUUUUUUCAAUUGAUGACUGGAGAGGAAUAAAAUAAUUGCCUAAACGUAUGUGGUAAGAGAUGGAUUUUCGGUUUCGGGAUUUUCGGGCGAAUGACUCCAAGGUAUUUUACCGAUGCGGAACGUUCGGUUUUUUGGCGGCCACCUAAUGUAAUGUAUACUUAAGUAGUAAACAAAGGGCUGGUAGCGGCAAUAGGUAUGCCAGUAUGUAAA